AAAGACUUACAAUCUGAUCCAUUUUCAUUUCAUUAGACAAAGAACCAAAAUCCUUUCUUUAAGUUUGAAUCCUUCGAGAGUAAAACCUCAAUUUAUUCAACGAACUGAAGCUUGAAAAAUUCGUUCAAAGCAUUUCAACAAGCUAAAACUUGAUUCGUCCAAAUAAUUCAAGGAACAGAAAUGUAAUUCCAACAAAAAUUUUGCAGUUAUAAAAGAGUACGGUGCAAUCUUCGCUAAGAAUAUUAUACGGAGUUUUCCUUACCCCAGGUAUGUUAAGGCUAAUCCUUCUUUCAUUUGGCAUAAUCCAAGUAACGAUAUAUAAAUGUAAUGUUAUUUCAUAAAUGGUUCUACUCUUAGUAGUUACGAAUGUCUAUGUUAUUCAUUCCCAUAAAGUGAUAUUCAUCUAAAUAUGUAUCUAGACAGAUUCAAUUAACAUAAGUGAUCCUUUAUAUUCCUCGGUUUAUUUGAUCUGUAUCCUAAAGUUAAUUGGAUUACAAAUAGUGGCAGAUAAUUAAAAUAAGAACUAAAAUACACUAAGAUGCAUAUGGCUAUAAAAAGGACUAUUGCGUUAAUGAGUUCUCUGGAAACAAAAGCUCAAAAUUAUAUUCUUCAAGCGAGAGGGAGAACAAUGUAAGAAGAAACUUAUCACAAAUAGAAAAAGAAAGAAUUAAGCUUCAGAAAAGCAAAUACACAUAGACUACAUAUAAGAAGUAGAACUCCUCUGGAUCUCGGAUCAGUAUAUGUCAAAAUGCUAUAUUAAUUGAUGGUUGAAAAUUCUUACUUGCAUAUCUUGUAUCUGACCAAUCAUUAAUUUUUCUUGUGAAUUAUACGAAAGUUGCACUUUUCGAUCAGGAAUAAUAUUGAGAUAACCUACUUGAAAAUAAAAGGAUGUCAGGCCAAUUCAAUAAAUGGAUAGCAUAAUAAUAUUUAGUUUGAAAAUUUUAUUUUAGGAGGUAUUUGAUAAAGAUGUUAAUAUUGAUAAUAUUGUGAUAUAUACAUAUUCAUUUACCACCGUGCUACGGCCGGUCGGGCAGUUACGUAUCAUUAUUUACCUUCAAUUGGGCAGUCAUGCAUAUUCAUUUACCACCGAGCUACGGUCGGUCGGGAAGCCAUGUAUUUACCACCGAGCUACGGCCGAUCACGGCAGUUACCACAGGUUGGGCAGUUAUAUAUUAUUAUUUACCACCGGUUGGGCAGUGCAUUUACCAUCGAGCUACAACCGGUCGGGCAGUUACCACUGAUCAGUUGGGCAGUUAACGUCACAAAAAUGAGGUAACUAGAACUAUUAUAUUGUAGUUUUAUUUAUAUAUACGAGAUGGGUUUUAUUAUAUAUGUUACGACCCUCAGCAGCAAGUCAGAAGUUAUAAGUUGACUCUUAUCUCUCCCCGAGAUAGUAACUUAUUAUUAUUACGUUUCAUUUCUGCCUUACAUACUCGGUACAUUCUUCGUACUGAUGUCCCUUUUCCUGGGGUGCUGUGUUUCAUGCCACAUAGGUGUAGAUAGGCGAGGUGAGAACCAUACACUGUAGGCUGCCUCCAGAUAUCAGCUUUUGUUUAGUGAGCUCUACAUCUUCUGUAGUAUUGCCGAGUCACGUUCUAUAUAUGUUACUUUAUUUUAUGAAGAUAUCGGGGACCCUAUUCCGACAUAUAUAUUAUGAUCAUGUUUUCUUAGAGGUUUUGCAGACAGUGUCUUGUGUAUAGCUUUAAGUAUGACAUGUCAACGGCCUUGUCGACCCCUAUGUAUCUAUAUAUAAAUCUUUUUGAAUUAGAUAUGUGAUGUAAGUUCUAAUAUUAUUAAUUAUAUAUAUAACUGUGGCCUAUCAUGGUCGUGACGAGUCUUAUAGAAAAAAAAAGAUAAGGUACGUGGCGCUUGGUUGAGUAGGGACCGGGUGCCUGUCGUGGCCCUCUGAUUUGGGUCGUGACAAUGUUUUCAUGACGCUAUAAACAUUGUAUGAGCCAUCUUCCAAGCAACUUAAAAUAUCAUUUUUGCAUAAGAAGUCAGAAUGCUUCCAAGCCUCUGUGACCACAAAUUGCUCAUUUUCAGGAGUUUCUUCUCCCUUAACUGGAAUUCACAGACCAAUCUUUCAUCCCCUUUCACAUGGCAAAACUUCCUUAUUCCUUCUCCAGUCCUUUUCUUUUCUCUCUCUAUCUCUUUUUCCUUCCUCUCUCUAUCUCCUUUUCCUUUUCUUAUCGUUUGAUUUGUACCGAUAUCGAAGCGAAAUUAAAAUGACUAAAACGAUUUUGAAAAAAUAUAAUUAUAAUUAUAAUUAUAAUUAUAAUUAUACAAAAUAGAAUAAGUGAAAAAUUAAUAUGAUAUAAUUUUUUUUGUUUGUAAAUGACAAACCAUACCCGAGCCGUUGGACACCUUUAAUCGCAACACGUACCCAUUUUCGUAAAGGCGGAUCCAGGAUUUAAAUCUUAUGAGUUCAACUUUUAACAAGAUCUAAUGUUUAGCUGCUACUCAGAUGAACUAGUCGCUGAAGAGAAACAACUCUUAGAGAAUCUGAAAAAAUGGUCAUUAAUAGAAGAAAGCAUCUUUCAAAAGAAAGCUCGAGCUAAAUGGAUAAGACUAUGAGAUGCAAACUCCAAGUAUUUUCAGCAAUUGUAAAGUUGAUUCAGGAGCGGCUUCGCACAGCACAGUCCAGGCAGAAGAGUUACGCGGAUCAGAAGGCGCGUGAUUUAUCAUUUAUGGUGGGCGAGAAGGUUAUAUUUAAAGUCUCGCUGAUGAAGGGAAUUAUGAGAUUCGGGAAGAAGGGUUAGUUGAUCCUAAGGUUUAUAGGCCUAUUUCAGGUGUUGAGACGAGUUGGGGGGGUUGCUUAUGAGCUUACUUUACCUCCUAGCCUAUUAGGAGUUCAUCUGAUUUUUCACGUGUCUAUGCUCCGGAGGUAUCACGCCGACUUGUCACAUGUGUUAGACUUCAGCACUAUUCAGUUAGAUGAGAGCCUGGGUUAUGAGGAUGAUCCAAUUGCCAUUGUUGCUAAACAUGAUCGCUCGUUCCCAUUGUUGCUAGACAGGAUCACCAGUUGAGAUCCAAGAGGAUUUCCACGGUAAAGGUUCAGUGGAGGGGCCAAUCACUCGAGAAGGCGACCUGGGAGUUUGAGUAGGACAUGAGGAGCAGAUAUCCACACUUAUUCAACACUCUAGGUAUCAAUCUAAACUUGUUCGAGGACGAACAUUUGUUUAAGAGGUGAAGAAUGUAACGACUCGAUCGGUCAUUUUGCUUCCUAGAACCCUGUUAUCCUAAAUAAGACUUCCCAUAUAUGCUUUUACUGUUUUAUGACUUGCGGGAANNNNNNNNNNNNNNNNNNNNNNNNNNNNNNNNNNNNNNNNNNNNNNNNNNNNNNNNNNNNNNNNNNNNNNNUGGUUAGUUCGGGAUUUGGAAAGGUUCAGGUUAAAAUCGGGACACUAGGUUCCUUAAUGUUGGCUAAAAAGGCCAAGUUUGACUUCGCUCAACAUUUUGAGUAAACGUCCUUGGAAUCGGGAUUUGACGAUUCCAAUAGGUUCGUAUUAUGAUUUUGGACUUGAGCGUAUGUUCAGAUCAAGUUUUGGAUGACCAUGGAGCAUUUUGGCACCUAAUAGUGAAAAUUGGUUCUUUGAAAGUUUAAGAAGUUCUUUAAAUUUGGUUUGGAGCGGGUUUUGGUGAUAUCGAGAUCCAAACAGAAUUCUGAGAUCGCAAAUAGUUCUGUAAUGUCAUUUAAGACAUGCACGCACAAUUUGGUAUCAUUCCGAGUAGUUUAAGUGCGUUUCGGCGCAUUGGAAGUAAAUUGAAGAACUUGAAGUUCAUAAGUUUGAUUCAAUUGAUUUUAGGGUGUGAUUCUUAGUUUUAAUGUUGUUUCGGGCGUUUCGAAAGUUCAAGUGAGUCUGCUUUAUAAUUUCAAACUUGUUGGUAUGUUUGGGCGGUGCCCCGGGGGACCCUGAGUGUCAAUUGGACGAGGCUCGGACCAAGUUGAAAAUUUGGAGAAAUAGUUGAAGCUCCUGGUUGCUGUCAUAAUCGCACAUGCGCUUGGCCAGCCACAGGUGCAAGCUCGCAGAAGCCAGCCAGGCCUCGCAGAAGCGGCCAAGGAAGGGCAACCCAGGAUUCGCAGGUGCACCCCAACCUCCACAGAAGCGGGACCCUGUCUGCAAAAGCGGAGAUACUCAUUACAUAUUUCUUAUUCGUAGGAGUAAUCUUGAAUAAUAAUGGAGCAAAAGGUAACAAAUUAUUGCAAAAAGGAGAAAAAACGGAAGGAUUGGGAGCUCAUCUAUUCUCUUGUGGCACGAAAACGGAUGCGAAAAAGGAGAAAAGUGAAGGCAUAAACAACGAAGUGAAGCAAAGGCACAGAUCGUUUCACAAAGUGGAAGAAUUUCAAAAGCUGAAUCAGCGUCCAUAAGCGCACGACGCGCAAAGGCAGACGCGGAUUCCGUUGAUUCUCAUAUUUUCCUGUGCUAUAGCCCAUGCCUUCCUCGUGGGCCCGGGCUCUUGGACCCAGAUAACCUAAAAUUUUUUGGGCCAUCAAAUACGACCUAAGGAACCUUAGCCACUGUCCCACCAUGAUAAUUCCUCUUUUUUUUUUUUUGCGAUUUACGGACAUGAAAUUGGAAUUUCGCCCGAUUCCCAUAAUUUCGUAUGUUAUAACCCACACCUUUCUCGUGGGCCCGGGCUCCUGGACCCGGUUAACUUAAAAAAAUUUCGGGCCUUCAAAUACGAUCUAGGGAACCAUUGUCACCGCCCCGCCAUGAUUGUUCCUCAUUAUUUUGCAUUUUACAGCCAUAAAACUGGAAUUCUGCCAAAUUUCCAUAUUUUCAUGUGCUACAGCCCAUGCCUUCCUUGUGGGCCCGGGCCCUAGACCCGGGUCGCCAAAAGUUUUUUCGGGCCAUCAAAUAUGAACUAAGGAACCAUAGUUAGUACCUCUCCAUGACCAUUCCUCAUUUUUUUUUUGCAUUUUACAGUCAUAAAACUGGAAUUCCGCCUGAUUCCCACAUUUUCCUAUGCUAUAGCGCACGCCUUCGUCGUGAGUCCGGGCCUCCGAACCCGUUGUAGACAUGUAAAUUUUGACCCUCCCCAAGAUUUUACAUAUUUUAGUAUUUAAAUAUUUAGUCUAGGUCUAGUAUCGUUAUUUUAACUAGUUUUGACUCUUUUACUUUAUUUUAAGAACAAAAAUUGAAAAUUACAAAAAUAGUAUAUUUCUCUAUUUAAUUCACGUAUUAGAUACUUUUAGAAGGAUAUAUUAUUUUUAACUAUUUUAUUUUAAUAUAAUUCGAAAAUACAAAAAUAGUUGCACUUUGUUUUCAAGGAUAUUAGUGUUUUUAGUAGUAAUAUUAUUCUAAUUUUUUACUUUAUUUUAAGAACAAAAAUUGGAAAUUAUAAAAAUAGUUCCAUAUUUCUCUAUUUAAUUCACGUAUUAGAUUUUUCAGAAGGAUAUAUCAUUUUUAACCUAUUUUAUUUUAAUAUAAUUCGAAAAUACAAAAAUAGUCACACUUUAUUUUCAAUGAUAUUAGUGUUUUUAGUAGUAAUAUUAUUUUAAUUUAAUCCCAUUUUUAUUUUUAGUAUGAUAUUUUAAAAAAUACUAAAAAAUAGUCUUGUUUUAACAGUUAGUUUUAUUUUUAAUAGUCAUUUCUACUUAAGUAGGAUUAGUUAAUAUAUGUGGGUAGUAUUUUUAUUCUUGUUUUAGGGAGCAAGAAUCAAAUUUGGACUAAAAUAAUCCAAUUUUGAGGCCCAUUUCGAUUGAGCCCUUGGCCCAUACCCUUCUUAGCCCACUACACCACCUUUCCCUAAACCUAAGACUCUUUUUCUUAACCAAGACAACCCUAAUUCUCUAGGAGGGGCAGCCGCAGCCGCAACACACUCCCUUUCCCCACCAAGCAACAACCUAACACCUACAAGAGAACGCCAUCCCCAGCCAUUUCUAUCACCAUACGACAAACCUCCCACCAGAAAUCAGACACAAGACCAAAAACGCCACGCACAAGAACACCAUCUGCGACACCCCUCCCUUCCCUAACCAUCUCCAGCCGUCAAUCCCUCUCUAUUUCACAUCUGCCGCCACCGGCCACUUCAAGCCCGCCGGAAAUCGACCACAAAUAUAGAUGCGUUUUGCUUCUUCCCUUCAGAUUUCAAUUUCAGUAUUUUUUUUUUGAAAAAUGGAAAUUAUUUGAGGUUUGAGUGAUUGAGGUGCGGAGUUUAGUUCGAAUUUGCUGUCGCCCGUCGUUCUGGUCGCGGUUCAUUCUUGUCGUUGUUUUCUCGCUCAAAUUUUGGAGUCAAGACCUGUGUAGUUGCUGAUUUUUAUUGCUAUCGAGGUUCACUCUUCUCCCCUUUCCUACGGUUUGCACUGUUAUUUUGUGUGUUGUGAUGGAUUUCCUUGAUAUUGGUCCGUAGUCAUAAUUUGUAAUUGUGGUUAGAGCUCUUAGACUUGCUUAGCUAUUUAAUAGUAUUCCUAUGUUAAUCUCUGUUAGGCUUAGGCUGCCAUGUUUCCUACUAUAAACUAAACUUGAGGUUUCAUUCCAAAUCUUAGAUUCACAUAUUUGACCUCUUCCAUUCUAACUGAAUAAUAAUUCUUUGUUCCAUAAAUCUGUGGAAUAGUUUUAAUUUGAUGAAUAUAUGGAAUGGUUUUGAAAACGUGAUUCUUUGUUUAUUUGGCCAACUCUUGGUCCCAAUGGAAGGCACAGUAGCGUUUUCUUCAAGUAUUUACAUAUAAUUUUGAAAUUUGAAAUCAUAUUUUUGUGGUAAGUAUUCUCCUUUCACUCUUGGUAUCAAUUUUGCCUUUUCAUUAAUACUUUUAGCAUGUUUAAAACACUCUCUUAAAUAAAGAGGCAUUUUCAUGUGUUAGUGCUUAAAAAUUACUAGUAGCGCUAGUGUUCAAUUACAGUGGCAUAGUUUUUCUUCUAACGUAAGUUAAAAUGAAAACUCUAUAGUUAAAUAUUCAAUUCACUUUAGGUUGUGAUCGUACUUUUGCCUUGGGUUAGUAGGUCAUUAAGAGAAAAGUUUUCAGUGGGAUUUCCUCGCUAAGUUUUGUGGUUUACGUUUUGAGUUGCCUUUUAUAUGCCUUGCUAUUUUCGUCGUCUCCUACUUCUUCUUUUUUUGUUUUGUUUCGUUUGUUGUUUUGUUUUGAAUGCUAUUCUUCUCAUCGUAUGCACAUCUCUUAUUUGAAUGACGAUGUUGAGCCGUAGAGGGUGAAAUCACAAAUGAAAUGAAGUUGAACAUGAGCAUGAAAUAUCUUUAUUUAUUUUAGCUUAAUUUUUACUUUUCUUUCAUAAUCGCUAGGAUCAUGUUUAGGCCGACCACGCCUGGGUAGGCAAUCUUAAGGUCUUUUUCUAUUUGUUUGUUUUUGGUUUCGAGGUGAGAGGUCGCUCCCUUUAUUUUAUAUUCAGGGGAAUGCCCCGUAGAUCUUGUAUAUAUUUUUAUCCGGGGUAUGCCCCGAAGUAUUUGUAUUUGGAGGCCGAAAGUAGAACUCGUAGUAUUCUAAUUUUAUUUUCAUUUUUUAUUAGGUGGGACGACCUCGAGCCUCGUGUAUGUUUAUUUUCUUUUUCGUGUUUAUUUUUACCUCAAUUUGAAUAUUCUUAAAAGCCAACUUGAUCAUGUACGCAACCGUACUAGUUACGGAACUCGGGGAAUGCCUAACACCUUCUCCCUGAGUCAAAUGAACUCCUUUACCCGAAUCUCUGGUGCAGACUUAGUUUUUGAGUCUCAAGUGUUUUGAAAGGAAAAAAAAUUAUUUUUAGAAAAACGGUGGCCUGACACACCGAGAUCAAAUGUCAGGUGGUGACUCUGAGUUAAUCCUUUUGAACACAAUUUUUUUAUCACUUUCAAAAAUUGAAAACCUUUGAACUUUACAAAUUUCUUUUAUUAUUUUAAGAGGGGUUAAUGAAGUUUGUAAAAAAGGGGUGUGACACCCGGAUUGCCUAAAAUUUUUCUGGACCAUCAAAUACGACAUAGGGAACCAUAAUCAUUACUUCACCAUGAUCGUUCCUCUUUUUUAUUUUUUA
rnacentral:lncRNA from 1 species